GUGCCUGUAGCUCAGUGGAUAGAGCACUGGUCUACGGAACCAGGUGUCGGGAGUUCGAAUCUCUCCAGGCACG
rnacentral:tRNA from 3 species